rnacentral:rRNA from 1 species
GUCUACAGCCAUACCACCCUGAAUGCACCAUCUUGUCUGAUCUCAAAAUUAAGCAGGGUUAGGCAUGGUUAGUGCUUGGAUUGAAAGCC